CCUACGGGAGGCAGCAGUGGGGAAUUUUGGACAAUGGGGGCAACCCUGAUCCAGCAAUGCCGCGUGAGUGAAGAAGGCCUUCGGGUUGUAAAGCUCUUUUGUCAGGGAAGAAACGGUGAUCUCUAAUACAGAUUACUAAUGACGGUACCUGAAGAAUAAGCACCGGCUAACUACGUGCCAGCAGCCGCGGUAAUACGUAGGGUGCAAGCGUUAAUCGGAAUUACUGGGCGUAAAGCGUGCGCAGGCGGUUAUAUAAGUCAGAUGUGAAAUCCCCGGGCUCAACCUGGGAACUGCAUUUGAGACUGUAUGGCUAGAGUGUGUCAGAGGGGGGUAGAAUUCCACGUGUAGCAGUGAAAUGCGUAGAUAUGUGGAGGAAUACCGAUGGCGAAGGCAGCCCCCUGGGAUAACACUGACGCUCAUGCACGAAAGCGUGGGGAGCAAACAGGAUUAGAUACCCUGGUAGUCCACGCCCUAAACGAUGUCUACUAGUUGUCGGGUCUUAAUUGACUUGGUAACGCAGCUAACGCGUGAAGUAGACCGCCUGGGGAGUACGGUCGCAAGAUUAAAACUUAAAGGAAUUGACGG
rnacentral:rRNA from 1 species